rnacentral:rRNA from 1 species
AGCGAACGCUGGCGGCAGGCCUAAUACAUGCAAGUCGAGCGCACCUUCGGGUGAGCGGCGGACGGGUGAGUAACGCGUGGGAACGUGCCCUUUGGUACGGAACAACUGAGGGAAACUUCA